GGAAAGCUGUCCAGGGAGCCCGAGACUUCUCCCCUCUUCACUCUGUUAGGGUGCUGGUGAGCACUGCUCCUCCCACCUGUGAGCAAAGCACACGUGUGCACACCGGCCGCCCAGACUAUUUUUAAACAAACUAAAAAUGCUGCCUUACCUCAGAGAGUUGUGCUGAAGGAGCUUGUUCAGGGUAUCAGAUGGACUUUUACAAAUAUAAAAUGCUUCGGCAUCAUCUGCUCUCUCACCUCACUGGGUCCUCUCCUGGGAAGAUAGCACAGGAAUUGGGUGAUGGGACAAUCAGGGUUUGAUGAUGCGCUGCCUGAUUCAUCCUCUCCUCUAUGCUCUGGACUCCAGGCACAUCCUGCAGCCCCAGUCCCCACCCAGGGCCUGACCUACUGUGGGUGUCUUGCAAGGGGUGGCUGCAGACAGAAAUACAGCAAAGUAGAGGCUCCUGGGCUGGGACUGCACAGAGCCCUUCCGCAGUGGCCUCAGCCCGAUCCCCUCCCUGGGACGUCUGCUCGGCCAGCAUCAGCCUCUGCCACAGAGUGGAAGAUCAAGUGCUCUCCUGUUCCAGGUCAGCCACUUUGGAUUUAACCUUGAGGCAGAGGCUCAGCUGCCCUGAGAACCGCUGCUCAUUACUGCAGCAACACCUCCUGUGAAGGUAGCCCAGCGCGUCCUUGGCCACGGCUUCCUGGGGCGAUAAAAAUAGCUGAGGCUUCGCAGCUGCUGAGUGAUGAACUCUGGAAGGAUAUGAUUGAUUCUCACAGCUGAGCCUCGGGGUCAGUGAGCCUGGUGCAAGUAGAGACAUCGGGGUGAGGGAUGGGGAUUCUGCUAUAGAUAGAGCUGUUGACAGAGCGAUCCUGGGCUUCUCCCCACUUGAGGGGAGCACAGAACAAGCUAACUAACAGGAACUGUGCAGGGCUCUUGGAAAUGACGCA
rnacentral:lncRNA from 1 species